rnacentral:rRNA from 1 species
GAUAGUGAACCAGUACCGUGAGGGAAAGGCGAAAAGAACCCCGGCGAGGGGAGUGAAAAAGAACCUGAAACCGUGUACGUACAAGCAGUGGGAGCCUCUUUAUGGGGUGACUGCGUACCUUUUGUAUAAUGGGUCAGCGACUUAUAUUCUGUAGCAAGGUUAACCGAAUAGGGGAGCCGAAGGGAAACCGAGUCUUAACUGGGCGUUAAGUUGCAGGGUAUAGACCCGAAACCCGGUGAUCUAGCCAUGGGCAGGUUGAAGGUUGGGUAACACUAACUGGAGGACCGAACCGACUAAUGUUGAAAAAUUAGCGGAUGACUUGUGGCUGGGGGUGAAAGGCCAAUCAAACCGGGAGAUAGCUGGUUCUCCCCGAAAGCUAUUUAGGUAGCGCCUCGUGAAUUCAUCUCCGGGGGUAGAGCACUGUUUCGGCAAGGGGGUCAUCCCGACUUACCAACCCGAUGCAAACUGCGAAUACCGGAGAAUGUUAUCACGGGAGACACACGGCGGGUGCUAACGUCCGUCGUGAAGAGGGAAACAACCCAGACCGCCAGCUAAGGUCCCAAAGUCAUGGUUAAGUGGGAAACGAUGUGGGAAGGCCCAGACAGCCAGGAUGUUGGCUUAGAAGCAGCCAUCAUUUAAAGAAAGCGUAAUAGCUCACUGGUCGAGUCGGCCUGCGCGGAAGAUGUAACGGGGCUAAACCAUGCACCGAAGCUGCGGCAGCGACACUAUGUGUUGUUGGGUAGGGGAGCGUUC